GAUAGGCUAAUUAAGGGCGUAUGGGGGAUGCCUAGGCUCUCAGAGGCGAAGAAGGACGUGAUAAGCUGCGAAAAGCUGCGGGGAUCAGCACAUAUGAUAUGAUCCGCA
rnacentral:rRNA from 1 species